rnacentral:rRNA from 1 species
UACGUAGGGGUCAAGCGUUGUCCGGAAUCAUUGGGCGUAAAGCGCGUGUAGGCGGCUCGGUAAGUCUGCUGUGAAAGUCCAGGGCUCAACCCUGGGAUGCCGGUGGAUACUGUCGAGCUCGAGUCCGGAAGAGGCGAGUGGAAUUCCUGGUGUAGCGGUGAAAUGCGCAGAUAUCAGGAGGAACACCAAUGGCGAAGGCAGCUCGCUGGGACGGUACUGACGCUGAGACGCGAAAGCGUGGGGAGCAAACAGG